AUGCGCCCCGGCCGUAUGCGGAACGGCUCUUGCUGGUCCGCCGCUCGGCUCGGGGUGUGGACUGUUGUCGGCCGCGCCGGCGGCCAAAGCCCGGGGGCCCUAGGUGCCCCCGGUGGCCGUCGUCGGCACGGCCGGUACCCGCGCGCCUAA
rnacentral:rRNA from 1 species